UUGGAUUUAUGUGAGAAAUCAAGGAGUCAUCCAUUGAAGAUCCAAGGGUGGACAUUGAGUGGCCAAGGCUAUAAAUAGAAGGGUAAUCCCCUCAUUUUCACUCACCACACUACAAGCAAACUCAAGAGCUUUCACUCCACACUUGCCCACACGUUUUUGCCUCCAAGCUUCCAAGAUUUCAAGUGCUCAAGUGUCCUAGCUUUCCAAAGCUUCAAAAGCUCUCCAACUUCUUCUUCUAAUCUUCUUGUUCAUCUUUACAAGUAAGAAGUGUUGUUUGCUUUAAUAUUCCACUCCUCUAAUCACCUCUUGUGUGUGUCCACUUUGGUUGAGAGGAUUGUCUCAAUAGUACCAAAGUGUUAGAGAAGGUUUGUGAGCUCAACCAUAAAGCUCUAGUUUGGUUUUAUAAAGAUUUCAGAGGUUUUUAAGAGUUCCUUGAUACUCUAAGGUACUAACUUACCCGUAAAAGUUAGAGGUUCUUAAGAGUGCCCUUGAUACUCUAAGGUGUGAGUCUACCCGUAAAAGACUGGUUCCUAAGCGAAGUAGCCUUAAAGCUUAGAGAGGUUUUUAAGAGUUCCUUGAUACUCUAAGGUACUAACUUACCCGUAAAAGUUAGAGGUUCUUAAGAGUGCCCUUGAUACUCUAAGGUGUGAGUCUACCCGUAAAAGACUGGUUCUUAAGCGAAGUAGCCUUAAAGCUUAGAAAGGUUUUGCCAUUACUUUUAGGCGAGUGAAUUCCGGCAGUUGGUCGGGACUGGACUAGCCCUUGUUUGGGUGAAUCAGUAUAAAUCUCUUGUGUUGUUCUCUGUUAAUCAUAGUUCUAUCUUUUGUUUAAAAACAACACUUAAUUAAAAAGAUCCCUCUUCCAGUUAUCUGGUCAAACACAGAGGUUGACUACUUUACGCAGAUCCCUCAUCCAGUUAUCUGGUCAACUAUCUGAGGUUAUAUUCAUUGCUUUAAAUCUUUAUAUUUGUUCAAGUAUUACUUAUCAUAUUUAUCCAGUUAUCUGGUCACUUACUUGUUUAUCAACUUAUCCAGUUAACCCUAACCCUAACCCUAAACCCUAUCUGAGGUUAUAUUCAUUGCUUUAAAUCUUUAUAUUUGUUCAAGUAUUACUUAUCAUAUUUAUCCAGUUAUCUGGUCACUUACUUGUUUAUCAAUAUAUUCAGUUAUCUGGUCAUUUACUUGCAUAUCAAUAUAUCCAGUUAUCUGGUCAUUUACUCUACAUUACAAUUUGUGUUUUCAAUAUAACUUAGUAUUCAUAUACUAUAGUUGUGUGUAAAACACUAUCAAGCAAGUUGACUCAGUAUUCAUAUACUGUAGUAAGCUUCAGAGAGUAAUACUUACAUCAUUAUAUCAAUCAAAAUCAUAAUAUCCUUAUAUCAUUACUUGUUCAACCAUUUGUUUAUUUAGCAUUUACAGGUAAUUCCGCAAUCAACCUGUAUAAAUCGAAAAGAGGCUAUUACCCCCCCUUAUAGCCUCGGAUCACGAUCCAACACUUUUGUCUGAUGGGGUGGGCGCACCGCGAGCUUGUGCUCUGCCAGCGCCCUGGGCACGCCACUCAACUCCCCCAGCUCGUCUGCGAACAAGUCCUCGUUCUUCCUGAGGAUCUACUCCAGCUCCCCUUUCAAGUCUCGCAGGAGGUCCUUCCCUAUACGUACCUCGCUCCGGUCGAGGCCGAUUAGGAUCGUGUGGGACACUGGCGCCGGCUUCGUGACGCACUCGCGCGCCGAAUGCGGUAGGCCUUCGUCCGACGUCAUCACCUCGCUGACCGAAUUGAAGUAGCACUCGAGCGCCUUCUUCUAGGAUCCUCUGACCGUGCACACUCCCUCUUCGGUUGGAAAUUUGAGGCACUGGUGGAACGAAGACAUCACCGCCUGGAACUCGUGCAGCGCCGCUCUUCCUAGGAUGGCAUUGUAUCCGGACGUGAAGUUUACCACAGUGAACGUGACUUCGACUGUCCUUGCUUAAGCGUGUCGGCCCAAGGUGACCGGGAUGGAUAUCGUUCCCGCCACCGGAACUUCUGCCUGUCUGAAUCCUCUGAUGGGGGCCCGGCAUGGGAGCAGGUCUGUGCGGGCCAAACCGAGGUCGAUAAAGGCGUUCCAGUACAGUACGUCUAUGGACGCCCCUGUGUCCACCAAGACCCUGUGUAGGCGUACACUGGACUUAUCCCCUCUUUGGAAAAUGGGGGUUAUGACUAACGGGUCGUCGUGGGGCGUAGUGACGUCUUUCAUAUCGUCCUCCGUAAACGAGAUUUCCAUCUUCGUUCGCGGGCGCUUCGUCCCUGUCGUCCGGUCCAAAUCGGACGCGUACCGUCGCCUUUCCCAUGGGUCGUCGCCCCUCGAGGCCCCCCCUCCCACGAUGGUGAGGAUAUCCCCAAUUGCUUCGUCCGCCGGUUCUUGCUUCGGCGCUUGGUGCCCUGUAGGUAUGACCGUCGAAUGUCUCGCUAUCGGGGCGGGGGGGCUCCGGUGGUGGGUUUCAUUUUGUCCAGUACCCUUGUCAGGUUCAGGCAUUCGGCUGUCGUGUGGCCAUUGUCCUCGUGGUAUUCGCAAAACCUGCGGGUGUCCCUGAACGCUGUCGUGUCCUUCCUCAUCGGCCUUGGCGGGGUAGGGUUCCCGUUCCGCUCAACGUGAGGAAGACCUGCCUUUGAUUCGCCGCCGGGGUAAGGCCUGCUUCCCUUCGUCCCGCCCCCGUGGGGAUGCCUGUCCUGUAUGCGGCCGCCUGUGGGACGACCGGGGGCUUGGUCUGCGGCUGCUGUUGCUGGGGUUGGUUCUGCUGUUGCCCCCCCGCGCCCGCGGAGGUGUCUUUCCCCCUCUGAUGCCGCCUGCACUCCUGGAUCUUCGCUCCCAGGUAGUCCUCUACAUUGCAUUCUCCAUGGGAUCUUUCCAUGGCUUCGGCGAAAGUGCUUGGCGGCUUUCGCACCAGGUCCCCCGCGAAGAAGGUGAGUCGGAGGUUAUUCGUGACGGCGUAUAGCACCACCUCUUCCGAGAUUCCCUCGAUCUUUUGCACCUCGCUCGCGAACCGAUCCAUGUACGUGUGUGUGCUCUCCGCCUCUCCCUGCGCGAUGGCACUGAGGGUAGCUUUGAUUUUGGGUCUCCUCCGACGGUGUGCGAAGGCCGCCCGGAACACCGCCACCAGGCCUUCGUAGGUAUGCACGGACCCUGCCGGCAGCGUCCUGUACCAAGCUAUCGCGUCGCCCGUCAAGGCUCUGCGGAACAUCUGGCACCAAAUGUCCUUUCUGCCCGUCCUGUCCUCCAUGUUUGUCUUGAACGAAUGAAGAUGAUCCUCUAAGUCCGUGUCUCCCUUGUAAUACGGGAUCUUUGGGGCCCUCCAGCCCAGGGCGUAUUCCUCGUCUAGCAAGUGUUGUGCUAGAGCUUCUCCGCCCGCUCCCCCUACCGCCGGUACCGUAAUGACUCCCGGGGUUUCCGCAGGUUGGGCGUCGUUCCCGGGUCCCCCGACCGGGGGGACCGGUCCCCCGGUCCGUACAUUGGGUCGCCUCCUCCACCCCCGUCCGACUCCAAGGUGCGGGGGGUUACCGUGAGCUGGUGUACCUGCUCCUGCAGCUGGCGCUGGCUCUCCUGUAAGGUGGAUAUUAGUUCCACGAGUUGCACCCUCUCUCGCUUGUUCUCCCUUUCCGCGCGCUCCCUCUCCUCUGCGUGCUCCCUUCGACGGAGCCUCUCGUGCUCCUUUUCCUUCGUUCUACUCUCCCUUCUCUCCCGGGACCGCGACCGGGACCGCGUGCUCCUAUCCCUGGGCGGGGGUGCGGGCCCGCUACGUCUGCUCCUCCUGGGCGACUCCCACCCGUACCUUAUUUCCUCCAAUUCCAUGCGUAACCUUUCCUCCUGGGCGUCCCACUCCUCGUUGGCUCUCAUCUCCUCCGAGUACCGGUCCCGCGAGUGGUGCGGCACCGGCCGGUAUUCCAACGCCCCUCGCUCGCGUCGCCUCGAGCAUUCUCCUACCUGGUAUUCUCUUCUUCCUGUCAUCCUCCUUCUCCUCUCCGGCUGUUGCGUGUUCGUUCACGUCAGAUUUACCACUGUUGGUGUGUGAGCUCGCCGGAGUAAGCUCGCCGUCGAACCUAGUACAAGUGUUCCUCCAAGAAUUAUCAACCCCCUCCCCUGCAGGGGAGGUAUUUAUAGCCUUCCAUUGUUGUCCUUGGGCCUCGUGGGUUCGCCCGUCGGGCCCAUUCGUUCGCCCGGGCCGCCGACGGGGCUGGUUCGGUCCAUGGGUCGCGGUCCAUAGUACCAACACAACCCUAGGCGUGCCAACGUUUCUCUUGUUGCUGAUUCUCCAAACAUCGCGCUGCUUCAUCUCUCUAUUUGUGAUUGUUCAUUCUAACUCGUUUAUCUUCUUCUAAUCUUUCAUAUCAGUCUCAUAUUAUCAACUUCUUCAAAUUUCAUAUAAUAGCCUAUUUUUCAAUGUAAAAACUAUCUGUAAUAUAUAAUAACCUAUUUUAUAACUGAAAUUGGAACUGCGUACAUGAUUACACGAUCAUGAUUAGAAUGGAAACUGAAACUGAAAUUGGAAACUAAAACUGUAAAAGAUAAUUAAGUGUUUAGUUAUACUAACACUCUCUGAUUUAAUUUAAUUUUGACAGAGGCUUUAAUUCAGAUUUGAGACUACGGUGAAGGCAGUCACAUAAUCCUUCAAAGCCGGAGGUGAGCGUCUGCAACUUGCUCCACUGGCUCGGAUGUACUCCCCUCCAUAUCAAUCUCCCACAU
rnacentral:lncRNA from 1 species